GAAAGCACUGUGGAGAGCUGAUUAAAAUUCAAAAUGAGCUUGAUCGUGUGGAGAAGUAGUCUGAAAUCAGAAGGAUGAAUUUUCACAAAGGAAAGUGCCGAGUUCUGUACCUAAGAUGGGAAAAAUUGAAAUGCACAGCUAUGAAAUGAGGAAUAAUUGUGGCCAAGAAGCAGUUCUACAGGAAAGCUUGGGAAGUUGCAGCUGAUUGCAAUUUGCUGCAGGGGCAGGCAUCUGUCUGAGAUAAAUUGACAACACAUGGGGUGGCAGAAGUGGUAAGGAAGUUCACUCAGUGCUGCUGGGACCUUAGCUGAAGAAGUGUGUCCUGGUUGGAGGGCUCACCUUUACAAAGGAGUUCCCAAUCCACCUCACUACCUGACUAUCUGGACCACAGUGCCUCAAUUUAGCCAGAAGGAUUCUGUGGAAGACAGUGUCAAAUGCUUCACUGAAAUCAAGAUGGAAAUUCCACAGGAGAUGAGGAGGAAGAGAAAAACAUCCUUAGUGCAAGGAAAAGAGGCA